rnacentral:tRNA from 1 species
GUUGUUUUGGCAGAAAAGUGCGAUGAAUUUAGAAUUCAUUAAUAUAAUGUUUUAUAUUAUAGGCAAUA